rnacentral:rRNA from 1 species
UACGUAGGGGGCAAGCGUUGUCCGGAAUUACUGGGCGUAAAGCGCCUGUAGGCGGGAACGUGCGUCGGACGUGAAAGUCGGGGGCUCAACCCUCGAAUGCCGGUGGAUACUGUCGGGCUAGAGUGCGGAAGAGGCGAGUGGAAUUCCUGGUGUAGCGGUGAAAUGCGCAGAUAUCAGGAGGAACACCGAUUGCGAAGGCAGCUCGCUGGGACGUCACUGACGCUGAGACGCGAAAGCGUGGGGAGCAAACAGG